rnacentral:rRNA from 1 species
CAGUAGUCACGAGUUUGAUCAUGGCUCAGAUUGAACGCUGGCGGCAUGCCUAACACAUGCAAGUCGAACGAGACCUUCGGGUCUAGUGGCGCACGGGUGCGUAACGCGUGGGAACCUGCCUUUAGGUUCGGAAUAACUCAGAGAAAUUUGAGCUAAUACCGGAUAAUGUCUUCGGACCAAAGAUUUAUCGCCUUUAGAUGGGCCCGCGUUGGAUUAGCUAGUUGGUGGGGUAAAGGCCUACCAAGGCGACGAUCCAUAGCUGGUCUGAGAGGAUGAUCAGCCACACUGGGACUGAGACACGGCCCAGACUCCUACGGGAGGCAGCAGUGGGGAAUAUUGGACAAUGGGCGAAAGCCUGAUCCAGCAAUGCCGCGUGAGUGAUGAAGGCCUUAGGGUUGUAAAGCUCUUUUACCCGAGAUGAUAAUGACAGUAUCGGGAGAAUAAGCUCCGGCUAACUCCGUG